GGGUCUGUAGCUUAAUUGGGAAAGCGUCUGCCUUGCAAGCAGAAAGAUAUCGGUAUCUGCUGUCGCAGACGCUAACGCGAACAAGUCCGAUCAGAAUCCA
rnacentral:tRNA from 1 species